AGGACGAACGCUGGCGGCGCGCUUAACACAUGCAAGUCGAACGUGAAGCCGGAGCUUGCUCCGGUGGAAAGUGGCGAACGGGUGCGUAACACGUGAGCAACCUGCCCCGAAGACUGGGAUAACACCGGGAAACCGGUGCUAAUACCGGAUACCUUCUUCUGAUCGCAUGGUCGGACGAAGAAAUGGAUUCCGCUUCGGGAUGGGCUCGCGGCCUAUCAGCUUGUUGGUGAGGUAACGGCCCACCAAGGCGACGACGGGUAGCCGGCCUGAGAGGGUGUCCGGCCACACUGGGACUGAGACACUGCCCAGACUCCUACGGGAGGCUGCAGUCGCGAAUCAUUCACAAUGGACGCAAGUCUGAUGAUGCCACGCCGCGUGCGGGAUGAAGGCCCUCUGGGUUGUAAACCUCUGUCACCGGGGAAGAAACGCUUCAAUUUAAUAGAUUGAAGCCUGACUUAACCCGGAGACGGAAGCAGUGGCUAACUCUGCGCCAGCAGCCGUA
rnacentral:rRNA from 1 species